rnacentral:rRNA from 1 species
AUUGAACGCUGGCGGCAGGCCUAACACAUGCAAGUCGAACGAGUGGCGGACGGGUGAGUAAUGUCUGGGAAACUGCCUGAUGGAGGGGGAUAACUACUGGAAACGGUAGCUAAUACCGCAUACCAUCGGAUGUGCCCAGAGGGGAUUAGCUAGUAGGUGGGGUAAAGGCUCACCUAGGCGACGAACCCAAGCUGGUCUGAGGGGAUGACGGGCGCAGUUGGAACUGAGCCAAGGUCCAGACCGCUACGGGGGGGAGCAGGUGGGAUUAUUGCACAAUGGGUGCAUGCCUGAUGCAGCCAUGGCGCGUUUAUGAAGAAGGCCUUCGGGUUGUAAAGUACUUUCAGCGGGGAGGCGUUACCCUCAGAAGAAGCAACGGCUAACUCCGUGCCAGCAGCCGCGGUAAUAC